rnacentral:hammerhead_ribozyme from 1 species
AUCCAGCUGACGAGUCUCAAACAGGACGAAACGCGUGUCCUGGAU